AUUGAACGCUGGCGGCAGGCCUAACACAUGCAAGUCGAGCGGAUGAAGGGAGCUUGCUCCUGGAUUCAGCGGCGGACGGGUGAGUAAUGCCUAGGAAUCUGCCUGGGAGUGGGGGAUAACGUCCGGAAACGGGCGCUCAUACCGCAUACGUCCUGAGGGAGAAAGUAGGGGAUCUUCGGACCUCCCGCUAUCAGAUGAGCCUAGGUCGGAUUAGCUAGUUGGUGGGGUAAAGGCCUACCAAGGCGACGAUCCGUAACUGGUCUGAGAGGAUGAUCAGUCACACGGGAAGUGAGAAAGGGUCCAGAGUCCUGAGGGGGGCCGCAGUCGGGAAUAUUGCACGAUGGGGGAGUGCCUGAUCCAGCCAAGCGGGGGGUGGGAAGAAGGUCUUCGGAUUGGAAAACACUGUAGGUUGGGGGGAAGGGCAGUGAGUUUAUACGUUGCUGUUUUGACGGUACCAACAGAAUAAGCAACGGCUAACUACGUG
rnacentral:rRNA from 1 species